GCUCCUGCGGCGCAAUCGGUUAGCGCGCGGUACUUAUAAUGCCGAGGUUGUGAGUUCAAGCCUCACCAGGAGCA
rnacentral:tRNA from 1 species